rnacentral:rRNA from 1 species
AUUGAACGCUGGCGGCAUGCUUUACACAUGCAAGUCGAGCGGCAGCGCGGGGGCAACCCUGGCGGCGAGCGGCGAACGGGUGAGUAACGCAUCGGAACGUAUCCUGUAGUGGGGAAUAACUCAUCGAAAGGUGAGCUAAUACCGCAUAAGCUCUGAGGAGGAAAGCGGGGGGACCGAAAGGGCCUCGCGCUGCAGGAGCGGCCGAUGUCCGAUUAGCUAGUUGGUGAGGUAAAGGCGUCACCAAGGCGACGAUCGGUAGCUGGUCUGAGAGGAUGAUCAGCCACACUGGGACUGAGACACGGCCCAGACUCUACGGGAGGCAGCAGUGGGGAAG